rnacentral:rRNA from 1 species
AUUGAACGCUGGCGGCAUGCUUUACACCUGCAAGUCGAACGAGUGGCGAACGGGUGAGUAAUAGCUCGGAACGUACCGAGUAAUGGGGGAUAACGAAUCGCAAGAUUGGCUAAUACCGCAUCUUAUUCGAGCCGCCGAUAACUGAGUAGCUAGUUGGUGGGGUAAAGGCCUACCAAGGCGACGAUCAGUAGUGGGUCUGAGAGGAGGAGACGCCACACUGGGACUGAGACACGGGCCAGACUCCUACGAGAUGCAGCAGUGGGGAAUUUUGGAGAAUGGGGGCAACCCUGAUCCAGCCAGGCCGCGUGUAUGAAGAAGGCCUUCGGGUUGUAAAGUACUUUUGUUAGGGAAGCGGUACCUAAAGAAUAAGCACCGGCUAACUCCGAGCCAGCAGCCGCGGUAAUAC